rnacentral:rRNA from 1 species
GACGAACGCUGGCGGCGUGCUUAACACACGCAAGUCGAACGGAAAGGCCCUGCUUUUGUGGGGUGCUCGAGUGGCGAACGGGUGAGUAAACGGUGGUAAACUGGCCCUGGACUUGGGAUAACUUUAGGGAAAUGGGGGUAAUACCGGGAAGGAAGUCCUGGUGCAUGGUGGGGGGUGGGAAGGUUUCGGCGGUUGGGGUUGGACUGGGGGUUUAUCAGCUGGUGGGUGGGGUGGUGGCUUACCAAGGCUUUGACGGGUAGCCGGCCUGAGAGGGUGACCGGCCACAUUGGGACUGAGAUACGGCCCAGACUCCUACGGGAGGCAGCAGUGGGGAAUAUUGCACAAUGGGCGGAAGCCUGAUGCAGCAACGCCGCGUGCGGGAUGACGGCCUUCGGGUUGUAAACCGCUUUCGCCUGUGACGAAGCGUGAGUGACGGUAAUGGGUAAAGAAGCACCGGCUAACUACGUG